UACGUAGGCAGCAAGCGUUGUUCGGAGUUACUGGGCGUAAAGGGUGCGUAGGCGGUCCUUUAAGUCUGAUGUGAAAGCCCACGGCUCAACCGUGGAGGGUCAUUGGAAACUGGGGGACUUGAGUGCAGGAGAGAAGAGUGGAAUUCCACGUGUAGCGGUGAAAUGCGUAGAGAUGUGGAGGAACACCAGUGGCGAAGGCGACUUACUGGACACAUAUUGACGCUGAGGUGCGAAAGCGUGGGGAGCAAACAGG
rnacentral:rRNA from 1 species